AUUGAACGCUGGCGGCAGGCUUAACACUUGCAAGUCGAGCGGGGUGAUGGUGCUUGCACUAUCACUUAGCGGCGGACGGGCGAGUAAUGCUUAGGAAUCUGCCUAUUAGUGGGGGACAACAUCUCGAAAGGGAUGCUAAUACCGCAUACGUCCUACGGGAGAAAGCAGGGGAUCACUUGUGACCUUGCGCUAAUAGAUGAGCCUAAGUCGGAUUAGCUAGUUGGUGGGGUAAAGGCCUACCAAGGCGACGAUCUGUGGCGGGUCUGAGAGGAUGAUCCGCCACACUGGGACUGAGACACGGCCCAGACUCCUACGGGAGGCAGCAGUGGGGAAUAUUGGACAAUGGGGGGAACCCUGAUCCAGCCAUGCCGCGUGUGUGAAGAAGGCCUUAUGGUUGUAAAGCACUUUAAGCGAGGAGGAGGCUCUUUUGGUUAAUACCCAAGAUGAGUGGACGUUACUCGCAGAAUAAGCACCGGCUAACUCUGUGCCAGCAGCCGCAGUAA
rnacentral:rRNA from 1 species